rnacentral:lncRNA from 1 species
CUAACUUUGUCUCCAGCAUGACCAAGCAACUUCGUGGGCUUUGGGCAUAAAAUCUCCAAAUGAGCCUUUCGAGCACUAUAAAUUGAAGCCCAUAAUUUUAGCUUUCCAACCAUAUGUCGUGAGCCUCAAUCUAGCAUCUCAUGAAGAUGGUACGUCCAAAACAAGGUUUCUGGUCCAGUGAUCAGUUUUGCACGUUUUUCUACAUCAUUUUGUAUCAAAUGCCUCCAAUGGUAACUAGAACUCAAUGAACCGAAUGACAAACACAAAAUAGAUUAAAAGCACAAGUUUCUUGUUAGAUUUAUUUUACUCUAUUUUUUUUUUCUCAAGUGCACGAACCAAUUAUAGUAUAGGAAUGCAAGAACAAGGUCGUUCCACAGAGAUUUGAAUGAAAGACACUUACUACUACUGAAUGAAUUACAGACACUUACUACUACUUAAACUCACAAUGAGGUUGAGUUUUGUUUGUUUGGAGUGAAAACUACUAAAAAGAAUGCAAAAUAAUAAAUUGACUAGCAAGUGAAUGUUUAGAAGAGUUUAGAGACAAUGAUAACAAGCACUAGGGGUUCAACUUCACCAUAACAAUCCAAUUCCAUGUUACAAGUUAAAAAACAUCAAAGUUGAUCAAUUCAGUUUCUGGAGUUCGUUCUUUCUUAAAUAUGAUUAUCGAUAUGGUGUUUGGUUUUAAUCAAGUAUUCAUAAUACAUAAUUUAGCUAUGGUGUUUAGCCUAAACUAUGAAUAUGAAUCCAUUAAGCUUAGAGAAGAACAAUAAGGAACCAAGUAAACAUUUAAACAUGGUGUUUGUCCUAAAUAUGGUGUCUAUGAAAACUUGAACUAUAUAACCAACAUGCAAGUGUCAAUAAUGGCCAACUAUUUAAACAUGCAUAAAGAUUCAACUAAGAACAAAUGAGUGAGACCAAAAACUAGAACUAAUCAACAAAAAGUAAAAUUAACUUGAAAACAUGAAACUCUCUUCUCAUGCUACAUUGAAACUCUAGCUAUGGUAAUUAGUAACACCCCAUUAAUGGAAGCAACAACAUUUGAAUCAUAAUAAACAUGAACGGUAUAAGAAAAACCCUUGAAAACGAAUUAUGAUGUUGAAGAGCUCCUCACAGCUUCUAACAUGUGUGCUUGCAGCCAGAGAUCAAGAGUAGUGUAGAUGGUAUUUCUGUGUUUCUGGUGGUUUCUCCUCUUCUCCUACUUGGUAUCAACGAAUUUCACUUUAUAAUAUGGCAUAUGAAUGUGUGGAGGGUGUGAAUGGAAGAUAAAUGAAUGAAUGUGUGUAGCUUUCUAUUUAUAGAGUGCCAAAUUCGUUCACCCCUUGGUUGGUGUGGAAUAGCCUUCUUAGCUGCUGCCCAACUACCUCAUUAAGUGCCAACUACUCCAGCUGCCCAAUAAAUGCUUU